rnacentral:rRNA from 1 species
CCUACGGGAGGCAGCAGUGAGGAAUAUUGGUCAAUGGACGCAAGUCUGAACCAGCCAUGCCGCGUGCAGGAAGACGGCUCUAUUAGUUGUAAACUGCUUUUGUACGAGGGUAAACGCAGAUACGUGUAUCUGUCUGAACGUAUCGUACGAAUAAGGAUCGGCUAACUCCGUGCCAGCAGCCGCGGUAAUACGGAGGAUUCAAGCGUUAUCCGGAUUUAUUGGGUUUAAAGGGUGAGGAGGCGGUCGGAUAAGUUAAAGGUGAAAUCCCGAGGCUCAACUUCGGAAUUGCCUCUGAUACUGUUCGGCGAGAGAGUAGGUGCGGUAGGCGGAAGGUAUGGGGGAGCGG